rnacentral:rRNA from 1 species
CUACGGGUGGCUCCAGUGGGGGAUAUUGCACAAUGGGCGAAAGCCUGAUGCAGCAACGCCGCGUGAAGGAAGACGGUUUUCGGAUUGUAAACUUCUAUCAGCAGGGAAGAAAAUGACUGUACCUGACUAAGAAGCCCCGGCUAACUACGUGCCAGCAGCCGCGGUAAUACGUAGGGGGCAAGCGUUAUCCGGAUUUACUGGGUGUAAAGGGUACGUAGGCGGUUUAUUAAGUCAGAUGUGAAAGCCCGGGGCUCAACCCCGGGACUGCAUUUGAAACUGGUGAACUAGAGUACAGGAGAGGUAAGUGGAAUUCCUAGUGUAGCGGUGAAAUGCGUAGAUAUUAGGAAGAACACCAGUGGCGAAGGCGGCUUACUGGACUGUAACUGACGCUGAGGUACGAAAGCGUGGGGAGCGAACAGGAUUAGAUACCCGGGUAGUC